rnacentral:rRNA from 1 species
GACGAACACUGGCGGCGUGCUUAACACAUGCAAGUCGAACGAAGAGCGAUGGAAGCUUGCUUCUAUCAAUCUUAGUGGCGAACGGGUGAGUAACGCGUAAUCAACCUGCCCUUCAGAGGGGGACAACAGUUGGAAACGACUGCUAAUACCGCAUACGAUCCAACCUCGGCAUCGAGGAUGGAUGAAAGGUGGCCUCUAUUUAUAAGCUAUCACUGAAGGAGGGGAUUGCGUCUGAUUAGCCAGUUGGAGGGGUAACGGCCCACCAAGGCAAUGAUCAGUAGCCGGUCUGAGAGGAUGAGCGGCCACAUUGGGACUGAGACACGGCCCAGACUCCUACGGGAGGCAGCAGUGGGGAAUCCUCCGCAAUGGACGAAAGUCUGACGGAGCAACGCCGCGUGAGUGAUGACGGCCUUCGGGUUGUAAAGCUCUGUUAAUCGGGACGAAAGGUCCUCUUGCGAAUAGUUAGAGGAAUUGAUGGUACCGGAAUAGAAAGCCACGGCUAACUACGUGC